UACGUAGGGUGCAAGCGUUAUCCGGAAUUAUUGGGCGUAAAGAGCUCGUAGGCGGUUUGUCGCGUCUGCUGUGAAAACUGGAGGCUCAACCUCCAGCCUGCAGUGGGUACGGGCAGACUAGAGUGCGGUAGGGGAGAUUGGAAUUCCUGGUGUAGCGGUGGAAUGCGCAGAUAUCAGGAGGAACACCGGUGGCGAAGGCGGGUCUCGUGGGCAGUAACUGACGCUGAGGAGCGAAAGCGUGGGGAGCGAACAGG
rnacentral:rRNA from 1 species